UACAGAGGGGGCAAGCGUUAUUCGGAAUUAUUGGGCGUAAAGGGCGCGUAGGCGGCUUCGCAAGUGACGGGUGAAAUCCCUCGGCUUAACCGAGGAACUGCCUGUCAAACUGCAUGGCUUGAGACCGGGAGAGGUGAGUGGAACUGCGAGUGUAGAGGUGAAAUUCGUAGAUAUUCGCAAGAACACCAGUGGCGAAGGCGGCUCACUGGUCCGGUACUGACGCUGAGGUGCGAAAGCGUGGGGAGCAAACAGG
rnacentral:rRNA from 1 species